GUGGGGAAUAUUGGACAAUGGGGGGAACCCUGAUCCAGCCAUGUCGCGUGUGUGAAGAAGGCCUUUUGGUUGUAAAGCACUUUAAGCGAGGAGGAGGCUACCGAGAUUAAUACUCUUGGAUAGUGGACGUUACUCGCAGAAUAAGCACCGGCUAACUCUGUGCCAGCAGCCGCGGUAAUACAGAGGGUGCAAGCGUUAAUCGGAUUUACUGGGCGUAAAGCGCGCGUAGGUGGCCAAUUAAGUCAAAUGUGAAAUCCCCGAGCUUAACUUGGGAAUUGCAUUCGAUACUGGUUGGCUAGAGUAUGGGAGAGUAUGGUAGAAUUCCAGGUGUAGCGGUGAAAUGCGUAGAGAUCUGGAGGAAUACCGAUGGCGAAGGCAGCCAUCUGGCCUAAUACUGACACUGAGGUGCGAAAGCAUGGGGAGCAAACAGGAUUAGAUACCCUGGUAGUCC
rnacentral:rRNA from 1 species